rnacentral:rRNA from 1 species
UAAUCAAUAGUCUUUUAAUUGGUGACUUGUAUGAAAGAUUGGAUGAAAUAUAUACUGUCUCUAAAUAAUUUUUAGAAAUUAAUUUUUUAGUUAAAAAGCUAAAAUAAUUUUAAAAGACGAGAAGACCCUAUAGAGUUUAAUAAUUUAUUUAAUAUUAUUAUUAUAUAAUUUUUAAAAUUAAAAUUAAAUAAAUUAUUUUGUUGGGGUGAUAAAAAAAUUAAAUUAACUUUUUUUAGUUUUUUACAUUGAUUUAUGAUUAUAUGAUCCAUUAAUAGUGAUAAAAAGAAAAAAUUACCUUAGGGAUAACAGCGUAAUUUUUUUUUUUAGUUCAUAUAAAAAAAAAA